AUGGUUAAGUUAGAAAGGGCGCACGGUGGAUGCCUUGGCACUAGGAGCCGAUGAAGGACGGGACGAACACCGAUAUGCUUCGGGGAGCUGUAAGCAAGCUUUGAUCCGGAGAUUUCCGAAUGGGGAAACCCACUGCUCGUAAUGGAGUAGUAUCCAUACUUGAAUACAUAGAGUAUGAGAAGGCAUACCCGGGGAACUGAAACAUCUAAGUACCCGGAGGAAGAGAAAGCAAAUGCGAUUCCCUGAGUAGCGGCGAGCGAAACGGGAACAGCCCAAACCAAGAGGCUUGCCUCUUGGGGUUGUAGGACACUCUAUACGGAGUUACAAAGGAACGAUAUAAGCGAAGAGGUCUGGAAAGGCCCGCCAAAGAAGGUAACAGCCCUGUAACUGAAAUGUUGUUCUCUCCAGAGUGGAUCCUGAGUACGGCGGAACACGUGAAAUUCCGUCGGAAUCCGGGAGGACCAUCUCCCAAGGCUAAAUACUCCCUAGUGACCGAUAGUGAACCAGUACCGUGAGGGAAAGGUGAAAAGCACCCCGGAAGGGGAGUGAAAUAGAUCCUGAAACCGUGUGCCUACAAGUAGUCAGAGCCCGUUAAAGGGUGAUGGCGUGCCUUUUGUAGAAUGAACCGGCGAGUUACGAUCCCGUGCAAGGUUAAGCAGAAGAUGCGGAGCCGCAGCGAAAGCGAGUCUGAAUAGGGCGCAUGAGUACGUGGUCGUAGACCCGAAACCAGGUGAUCUACCCAUGUCCAGGGUGAAGUUCAGGUAACACUGAAUGGAGGCCCGAACCCACGCACGUUGAAAAGUGCGGGGAUGAGGUGUGGGUAGGGGUGAAAUGCCAAUCGAACCUGGAGAUAGCUGGUUCUCUCCGAAAUAGCUUUAGGGCUAGCCUCAAGGUAAGAGUCUCGGAGGUAGAGCACUGAUUGGACUAGGGGCCCCUACCGGGUUACCGAAUUCAGUCAAACUCCGAAUGCCGAUGACUUAUCCUUGGGAGUCAGACUGCGAGUGAUAAGAUCCGUAGUCGAAAGGGAAACAGCCCAGACCGCCAGCUAAGGUCCCAAAGUAUACGUUAAGUGGAAAAGGAUGUGGAGUUGCUUAGACAACCAGGAUGUUGGCUUAGAAGCAGCCACCAUUUAAAGAGUGCGUAAUAGCUCACUGGUCGAGUGACUCUGCGCCGAAAAUGUACCGGGGCUAAACGUAUCACCGAAGCUGCGGACUGUUCUAACGAACAGUGGUAGGAGAGCGUUCUAAGUGCUGUGAAGUCAGACCGGAAGGACUGGUGGAGCGCUUAGAAGUGAGAAUGCCGGUAUGAGUAGCGAAAGACGGGUGAGAAUCCCGUCCACCGAAUGCCUAAGGUUUCCUGAGGAAGGCUCGUCCGCUCAGGGUUAGUCGGGACCUAAGCCGAGGCCGAAAGGCGUAGGCGAUGGACAACAGGUUGAUAUUCCUGUACCACCUCCUCACCAUUUGAGCAAUGGGGGGACGCAGGAGGAUAGGGUAAGCGCGGUAUUGGAUAUCCGCGUCCAAGCAGUUAGGCUGGGAAAUAGGCAAAUCCGUUUCCCGUGAAGGCUGAGCUGUGAUGGCGAGCGAAAUUUAGUAGCGAAGUUCCUGAUUCCACACUGCCAAGAAAAGCCUCUAGCGAGGUGAGAGGUGCCCGUACCGCAAACCGACACAGGUAGGCGAGGAGAGAAUCCUAAGGUGAUCGAGAGAACUCUCGUUAAGGAACUCGGCAAAAUGACCCCGUAACUUCGGGAGAAGGGGUGCUUC
rnacentral:rRNA from 1 species